GUGCUUGCUUCAGCAGCACAUAUACCAAGACUGGAACGAUACAGAGACAGACGAUUAGCAUGACCCCUGCGCAAGGAUGACAUGCAAAUUUGUGAAGCAUCCCAUAUUUAA
ensembl:snRNA U6 U6 spliceosomal RNA